GUAGAUAUAUGGAGGAACACCAGUGGCGAAGGCGGCUCUCUGGUCUGUAACUGACGCUGAGGCUCGAAAGCGUGGGGAGCGAACAGGAUUAGAUACCCUGGUAGUCCACGCCGUAAACGAUGAGUGCUAAGUGUUGGAGGGUUUCCGCCCUUCAGUGCUGCAGCAAACGCAUUAAGCACUCCGCCUGGGGAGUACGACCGCAAGGUUGAAACUCAAAGGAAUUGACGGGGGCCCGCACAAGCGGUGGAGCAUGUGGUUUAAUUCGAAGCAACGCGAAGAACCUUACCAGGUCUUGACAUCCUUUGACCACUCUAGAGAUAGAGCUUCCCCUUCGGGGGCAAAGUGACAGGUGGUGCAUGGUUGUCGUCAGCUCGUGUCGUGAGAUGUUGGGUUAAGUCCCGCAACGAGCGCAACCCUUAUUGUUAGUUGCCAUCAUUUAGUUGGGCACUCUAGCGAGACUGCCGGUGACAAACCGGAGGAAGGUGGGGAUGACGUCAAAUCAUCAUGCCCCUUAUGACCUGGGCUACACACGUGCUACAAUGGGAAGUACAACGAGUUGCGAAGUCGCGAGGCUAAGCUAAUCUCUUAAAGCUUCUCUCAGUUCGGAUUGUAGGCUGCAACUCGCCAACAUGAAGCCGGAAUCGCUAGUAAUCGCGGAUCAGCACGCCGCGGUGAAUACGUUCCCGGGCCUUGUACACAC
rnacentral:rRNA from 1 species